AAGUCUUCGUGUUGGCUUGGGAGGAGAUCAUGUAAUACAUGUUAGAAGGACACUUCAAGUUAAACACAUCAUCUGGUUAGACACAGAGUCAAUUUCACACAGGUGCUUUGAUAAAUGAAUUCUUCUGAUAGUUCUUAGUUGCUGAACAGUCAUAUAGCCACACACUUCUCUCUUCUGCUGAAAAAUGAGUUACAGCAAUGGGAAAGGAAAACUCUUCAUUUUAGGCUUACCUUUAAUAGCUAAACGGUCCAUGGAACUUCUUACAACUCAGCAUGAAGAAUUUCCACUGGCAGAAAAGUAUCUAUUUCCUCUGUAUCAAUUUUUGAAAACUGCCUACAUGAGAAGUCUAAAAAUCUCAAAAUACACAUCAGUGUGGUCAGCUGAGGUUUGGAGCCCUCCUUCUGCACCACCUAGCCUUGCUGUAGGACUGCUGAGAAAAGUCAGCUGAAUACUGAAGCAUUCCAAUGAAAGACUUCUGCAGUACUCAGAUCACUUUUUCAGCUGUUUCAAAUCACAGUGGCCCAUCUAACCAACGACACAGACCACAAACAGCACACAAGUCUGCGUUCUUUCUCUUCUCUUGUGCCUCAUUGACAACUGGGUCAAAUGCAAGUCUUCAUGCAUCUUUUCAAAAGCCUUGAACUGGGCUGGCUUAAAUUACUGAGUGCACUUUAUACUGUGUGACUCCCACAUCACUAACAUUCUGCUGGAAGGACAUACUUGUCAACUUCAAGUAAAUAUUGUGAACGCAGGGAACAAAAGCUUACUAAAGGACAGCCCGUGAUCCUGGGACGCACUCCUCAAAAGGCACGAAUGACCAGGACCAACAGUACCAGAGUGAAAGGCAGCGAGAUUUUCCUUUAUUUGCUCUCUCCCACAGCUGCAGCAGAGGAUCAAGGGAAGAAGCAGCCACUUAAUCAGCAAAUAAGCAGUGCACUACAGAGUGGGGAACUGUAUGCUACACUGAGCAGUUAAUUUAGCUUAUCCUUCGUUGAUUGAGGCUAGUCACAUGCAUAAAAUGAAAGACAGGGUUUUGCUGGACCCUGGAAAUGUUCAGCAUUUCAUAAGACUGCACAGUUUAUGUAGUUCCAGUUCAUCUGAGGUCAAAUGCCUUCACUUUUUGCUUGUCCUCCUCACUUACUUUUCCUGUGCCUUUAUUUCUCAGUAGCAGCGCUAAGUAGAUGAGAUUUAGGUGCUCAUUUUAGUUUGGCUUGUAGAACAGGUGACUCCCUUUUUUAAAUAUAUAUUUUAAUACUGUCAAGUUUUUAAAAUAUUUCUUUCUUUCCAUGUUUUUUUCAUUUCACUCAGUCUGUUAAGUGUGUACUGACGAAUUACCAUCAUGAAGCAUUAAUGUUAUUUAUGCUCAAGAAAUUUGGCUUAAAGUCCAAAUUCCUUUAUUUCAGAAAGAAAACAAACUAUUAUUUAUGAUGCUGUAGGCUGUUGUUUUAAUACUUCACAUUACUUAUAGUGUUCUAAAUAAUAAGGCUAUUUACAUAUUUUUUCUGUGUUUAUGGAAAACAAAUAUAUCUUUUAAGCUGUGUGCUUUUAAUGAUAAAGUUCUCCUUUAUGUACAUAUAUGAAAAGACCCCAAAACAGAAGAGACUGUUCUUUCUGUCAGACAGAACAGUUGUACAGCUGGUUAUAUUCUAAGAUGAAGUACUUUCACAGCUACACAGCUUCUUUAACUGUAAGUAGUGAUGCCCUCUCCUUCCAUUGCUUGCUGGUAUGAGGGGGAGUUUUCCCCAGUUUCUGUUACAAGCUCCUGGAAAAAGUCCAUUGUUUGAAAUUUUAAUUAGGGAUUUUCCAACAUUUGCUCAUGCUAAACUAUGCAGUAAAUACUGAGCCACAAAAUUCUAUUAUCAGGGUUUGCUUUUUAGCAAAUAAAUAAAUAAAUAAAUAAAUUUAAU
ensembl:lncRNA